CAGCUUUAGAAUCAGAUCUGCCUUCUGGCGGCUUCCCACCUAGGAGCCAUGGGACCUUUGUGAAGUCACCAAUUGUGCUGUGGAUGCUUCAUUUGUGAAGGAGAACAGGACUGCCUUGUGAAAUUACGGAUGGUGCUACUAAAACAUAUCAAUAAUUUGAAUUUCACUUUUGUGGAUGCUUUAAACAUCAUAGUCAUUAGAAGGUGGAUCUGGCUGAUUGUACUUUAAGUUUUCAGUUUGAGCUGGAGCUUUGUAUUAUAACAGGAGGGUACUGGACAAGAACAACACAAUAAGAUAGGGACCCUGUCCCAGAGAUGACUACAUUGAAGUUCAGAGAGUUUAAGUAACUUGCCCAAAGUCACAUCGCUAGUGAAUAGCAAAACGAGGAUUCAAGCCUAGGCCUGCCUAUUUUCAAAGUUUAUGGAAGGAAUUAAAACAUUUCUUAGUCUAA
rnacentral:lncRNA from 10 species